UAUGUUGAUGGAUUAUCAAACAUAAUAUGUUUGUAACUGUCAAUUUUUCUGUACAUUUAUUCCAUCAGUUAUGACCAUAUAUACAAACAUAAAUGGCAUGAUAGUAAAGAGGUAAAGCAUGUGAUCCCUUGUACAGUUUGAUUUAGUUGGUGAAAUAUAUAUUCAGUAUCUGAAGGUUGCACUAAUUUGAAAAUUGUGCCACAAAUUUUAGGUUGUGUUUUGCAAAAGUGACAAUUUUUAUUAUGACCCAAAUAGCCAUUAAUAACUGAACUUUGUAGCUUUAUAGAGCUUUCGAAUGAAAGCUGGAACAUUAUAACUGAUAGAUGGAUGCAUAAUUACUGGAACUGAUUACUGGUGUGGAUCUUAGUGUGGCUGUGUUGCGUUGUGCUCAUUUUCUUUCAUUUGAAGGUUCUUCCUGCCAGGCAGCUGGAAGAUAGGGGUCACAGUACAAGCGUGGUGAUCACAGUUAUCAUGGAGCUGAGGCCAGGCAGCUGGAAGAUAGGGGUCACAGUACAAGCGUGGUGAUUACAGUUAUCAUGGAGCUGAGGCCAGGUAGCUGGAAGAUAGGGGUCACAGUACAAGCGUGGUGAUGACUGUGAUCAUGGAGCUGAGGCCAGGCAGCUGGAAGAUAGGGGUCACAGUACAAGCGUGGUGAUUACAGUUAUCAUGGAGCUGAGGCCAGGCAGCUGGAAGAUAGGGGUCACAGUACAAGCGUGGUGAUUACAGUUAUCAUGGAGCUGAGGCCAGGCAGCUGGAAGAUAGGGGUCACAGUACAAGCGUGGUGAUUACAGUUAUCAUGGAGCUGAGGCCAGGCAGCUGGAAGAUAGGGGUCACAGUACAAGCGUGGUGAUUACAGUUAUCAUGGAGCUGAGGCCAGGCAGCUGGAAGAUAGGGGUCACAGUACAAGCGUGGUGAUUACAGUUAUCAUGGAGCUGAGGCCAGGCAGCUGGAAGAUAGGGGUCACAGUACAAGCGUGGUGAUCACAGUUAUCAUGGAGCUGAGGUCAGGCAGCUGGAAGAUAGGGGUCACAAUACAAGCGUGGUGAUUACUGUUAGCAUGGAGCUGAGGUCUACAUGCUAUGAGACUGGGACCAUUAACUGUAAAGUAUUGCCCUGCCCACCAAGUGUUCACCCACAGUCUCAGGUAGACAGCCUGUACCCUGACCACCAAGUGUUCACCCACAGUCUCAGGUAGACAGCCUGUACCCUGCUCACCGAGUGUUCACCCACAGUCUCAGGUAGACAGACUGUACCCUGACCACCAAGUGUUCACCCACAGUCUCAGGUAGACAGCCUGUACCCUGACCACCAAGUGUUCACCCACAGUCUCAGGUAGACAGCCUGUACCCUGACCACCAAGUGUUCACCCACAGUCUCAGGUAGACAGCCUGUACCCUGACCACCAAGUGUUCACCCACAGUCUCAGGUAGACAGCCUGUACCCUGCCCACCAAGUGUUCACCCACAGUCUCAGGUAGACAGCCUGUACCCUGCCCACCAAGUGUUCACCCACAGUCUCUGG